rnacentral:rRNA from 1 species
UACGUAGGGGGCAAGCGUUGUCCGGAAUCAUUGGGCGUAAAGCGCGUGUAGGCGGCUUGGUAGUCCGCUCUGAAAGCCCGGGGCUCAACCCCGGGAGGCGGGUGGAUACUGUCAAGCUCGAGUCCGGAAGAGGCGAGUGGAAUUCCUGGUGUAGCGGUGAAAUGCGCAGAUAUCAGGAGGAACACCAAUGGCGAAGGCAGCUCGCUGGGACGUGACUGACGCUGAGACGCGAAAGCGUGGGGAGCAAACAGG